rnacentral:tRNA from 1 species
UCCUUCGUGGCAGAGGGGUAUCGCGUCGGACUACAGAACGGAAGGUCGCUGGUUCGACGCCAGCCGAGGGAC